rnacentral:rRNA from 1 species
UACGUAGGAUGCAAGCGUUGUCCGGAAUUAUUGGGCGUAAAGAGCGCGCAGGCGGUAUGACAAGUCAGAUGUGAAAGAGGCCGGCUUAACCGGCAAGGGUCAUUUGAAACUGUCAGACUAGAGUGCAGCAGAGGAUAGUGGAAUUCCCGGUGUAGUGGUGAAAUGCGUAGAUAUCGGGAGGAACACCAGCGGCGAAGGCGGCCCCCUGGCUCGUACCUGACGCUCAGCCACGAAAGCAUGGGGAGCGAACGGG